UACCAGCACAUACUCUGAACACUUUUUUAUUGUCAAAAAGCAUCAUAGAUGAUAUGAUUAAGGCAAUUAGAAAAUAUUAGUGGGCAAAAGCGGGGGCGGGUAAGGGAUAUGCGAUGUUAGAUUGGAAGCAAAGUUAUGCAAAAGACAAAGAAGCUUUUACUAGUUUAGUUGUGCUUUUCUUGCAAUUGUGGGAAGCAAGGAAUUUGUUCAUGAUUCAGGGGCGGAAUUCUUCCUCGCAAGAUGUGUUUUUGAAAGCCCAAUCUAUCCAUCAUGACUUUCGAUGCAUAAUCUCCUUUGUGCGCCAUUGUUCUCUUGACAUCUAAUUAUGGCUUGAUGGACUCCACCUUGUGAAGAUGCGGUCAAAGUUAAUGUUGACACGAAUGGAAUAUAGUGACAAGAUUUGUUGCUUGCGGUGCCAUUGUUCUUGACCAUGAGGGAAAUGGUGCUAGUCGAUUUUGCUUGCUCAAUCAUUUAGGCUUUGGACACUCCUUCAGCUAAGGCUCUCGCUUUGGCUUGUGCUUCGUAAAAGGCCCUUUAGAAAGGGUUUUCUAGAGUUAUUUUCGAGUUUGAUUGUGCAUUUAUUGUUAAUAAGUUUAAUAGUUGAACUCUAGAUUUAUCUCUUUAUGGUCGUAUUGUUAGAAAGGCUUUAGGUGUUUGUGAUUUUUUUUAUAUUGUUAGUUUUUAAUUUUUUACUCACAGAUCCGCCAAUUGUGUCUCUCAUUGUUUGGCACAUUGGUUGAUGGAUGAGAAUGUUGCUUUUGAGUUCAAUUUGAGCUAUUAGGAUUUCAUCCACUGGUUGGUGUUGGAUGAUACCUUUUAAUUUAAUAUAGUUGGGCCUUUUUAGGCUUUUUCUUUAAAAAAAUUAGGCAAGGAUCAAUAUUUUUGUUUAUUUUUAUUAUAUGUAUUUGCUGUCUACCAAUUAUUAUCUAUAAAUAUUUAAAAGGUAAAUGUAAUAGUCUAUUUUUAGUGGUGUUGAGAA